GGUUCAGGAUGAACGCUAGCGACAGGCUUAACACAUGCAAGUCGAGGGGCAUCACGGGAGUAGCAAUACAACUGGUGGCGACCGGCGCACGGGUGAGUAACGCGUAUGCAACCUACCUAUCAGAGGGGAAUAACCCGGCGAAAGUCGGACUAAUACCGCAUAAAACAGGGGCACCGCAUGGUGAUAUUUGUUAAAGAAAUUCGCUGAUAGAUGGGCAUGCGUUCCAUUAGGUAGUUGGUGAGGUAACGGCUCACCAAGCCGACGAUGGAUAGGGGAACUGAGAGGUUGGUCCCCCACACUGGUACUGAGACACGGAUCAGACUCCUACGGGAGGCAGCAGUGAGGAAUAUUGGUCAAUGGGCGGGAGCCUGAACCAGCCAAGUCGCGUGAAAGGAAGAAGGAUCUAUGGUUCGUAAACUUCUUUUGCAGGGGAAUAAAGUGCAGGACGUGUCCUGUUUUGUAUGUACCCUGAGAAUAAGGAUCGGCUAACUCCGUGCCAGCCGCUGC
rnacentral:rRNA from 1 species